rnacentral:rRNA from 1 species
AAAGGAAUUGACGGGGACCCGCACAAGCAGCGGAGCAUGUGGUUUAAUUCGAAGCAACGCGAAGAACCUUACCAGGUCUUGACAUCCUUCUGACCGACCCUUAGCCGGGUCUUUCCUUCGGGACAGAAGAGACAGGUGGUGCAUGGUUGUCGUCAGCUCGUGUCGUGAGAUGUUGGGUUAAGUCCCGCAACGAGCGCAACCCUUGCCUUUAGUUGCCAUCAAGUAAUGUUGGGCACUCUAGAGGGACUGCCGGUGACAAACCGGAGGAAGGUGGGGAUGACGUCAAAUCAUCAUGCCCCUUAUGAUCUGGGCUACACACGUGCUACAAUGGUCGGUACAACGGGCAGCGAAGUCGAGAGAUGGAGCGAAUCCUAAAAAGCCGAUCCCAGUUCGGAUUGUGGGCUGAAACUCGCCCACAUGAAGUUGGAGUUGCUAGUAAUCGCGGAUCAGAAUGCCGCGGUGAAUGCGUUCCCGGGUCUUGUACACACCGCCCGU